rnacentral:rRNA from 1 species
ACCUACUACAUGGAUAACUGUGGUAAUUCUAGAGCUAAUACAUGCUAAAAAUCCCGACUUCGGAAGGGAUGUAUUUAUUAGAUUAAAAACCAAUGCCCUUCGGGGCUCUCUGGUGAUUCAUAAUAACUGCUCGAAUCGCAUGGCCUUGCGCCGGCGAUGGCUCAUUCAAAUUUCUGCCCUAUCAACUUUCGACGGCUGGGUCUUGGCCAGCCAUGGUGACAACGGGUAACGGAGGGUUAGGGCUCGACCCCGGAGAAGGAGCCUGAGAGACGGCUACUACAUCCAAGGAAGGCAGCAGGCGCGCAAAUUACCCAAUCCCAAUUCGGGGAGGUAGUGACAAUAAAUACUGAUACAGGGCUCUUUUGGGUCUUGUAAUCGGAAUGAGAACAAUUUAAAUCCCUUAACGAGGAACAAUUGGAGGGCAAGUCUGGUGCCAGCAGCCGCGGUAAUUCCAGCUCCAAUAGCGUAUAUUAAAGUUGUUGCAGUUAAAAAGCUCGUAGUUGAACCUUGGGCCUGGCUGGCCGGUCCGCCUCACCGCGUGCACUGGUCCGGCCGGGCCUUUCCCUCUGGGGAGCCGCAUGCCCUUCACUGGGCGUGUCGGGGAACCAGGACUUUUACUGUGAAAAAAUUAGAGUGUUCAAAGCAGGCCUAUGCUCGAAUACAUUAGCAUGGAAUAAUAGAAUAGGACGUGUGGUUCUAUUUUGUUGGUUUCUAGGACCGCCGUAAUGAUUAAUAGGGACAGUCGGGGGCGUCAGUAUUCAAUUGUCAGAGGUGAAAUUCUUGGAUUUAUUGAAGACUAACUGCUGCGAAAGCGUUCGCCAAGGAUGUUUUCAUUAAUCAGGAACGAAAGUUAGGGGAUCGAAGACGAUCAGAUACCGUCGUAGUCUUAACCAUAAACUAUGCCGACUCGGGA